rnacentral:rRNA from 1 species
UGGGGAAUUUUGCACAAUGGGGGAAACCCUGAUGCAGCGACGCCGCGUGAUUUAGAAGGCCUUCGGGUUGUAAAAAUCUUUUCUAUGGGAAGAAAAUGACAGUACCAUAGGAAUAAGGACUGGCUAAUUACGUGCCAGCAACCGCGGUAAUACGUAAGGUCCGAGCGUUGUCCGGAAUCAUUGGGCGUAAAGGGUACGUAGGCGGGUAAGCAAGUUAGAAGUGAAAUCCUGUAGCUCAACUACAGUAAGCUUUUAAAACUGCUCAUCUUGAGAUAUGGAAGGGAAAGUGGAAUUCCUAGUGUAGCGGUGAAAUGCGCAGAUAUUAGGAGGAAUACCGGUGGCGAAGGCGACUUUCUGGCCAUAAUCUGACGCUGAGGUACGAAAGCGUGGGUAGCAAACAGG